rnacentral:rRNA from 1 species
AGCCUUGCGGCCGUACUCCCCAGGCGGGACACUUAAUGCGUUAGCUUCGGCACUGGCGGGGUUGAUACCACCAACACCUAGUGUCCAUCGUUUACGGCUAGGACUACCGGGGUAUCUAAUCCCGUUUGCUCCCCUAGCUUUCGCGCCUCAGCGUCAAGAACAGGCCAGAAAGCCGCCUUCGCCACUGGUGUUCCUCCGGAUAUCUACGCAUUUCACCACUACACCCGGAAUUCCGCUUCCCUCUCCUGCCUUCGAGUCGGACAGUAUCGAAUGACCCUCCCUGGUUGAGCCAGGGGCUUUCACAUUCGACUUACCCGACCGCCUGCGCGCUCUUUACGCCCAGUAAAUCCGGACAACGCUUGCCACCUACGUAUUACCGCGGCUGCUGGCACGUAGUUAGCCGUGGCUUAUUCGCCAGGUACCGUCAUCAUCGUCCCUGACAAAAGAGGUUUACAACCCGAAGGCCUUCAUCCCUCACGCGGCGUUGCUGCUUCAGGGUUUCCCCCAUUGAGCAAAAUUCCCGA